AUGGGGCCCGGCACUGCAGCGGGGAAGACAAAGGCUGAGAAUGGGUGGCAGGUCCACCGUGUACAAAGGGGACAGGCGGGGACGAGAGAGCAGCAGGGCCUGACUUGGGCUGCGGGGUGUAGACGGAGGUCUGCGGAGCAAAGCAGAGAAGUGCUCGUCGCUUUUACAAACUGGGCGUCCAGGCGGGCGGGAGGGGCCGCGGGCGCCCAGGCCCGGGAGCUCGGGAGCUCGGGAGCUCGGGAGCUCGGGAGCUCGGGAGCUCGGGAGCUCGGGAGCUCGGGAGCUCGGGAGCUCGGGAGCUCGGGAGCUCGGGAGCUCGGGACUCGGGAGUCGGGAGGAGCUCGGGAGCUCGGAGCUCGGGAGCUCGGGGCAGCUCGGGAGCUCGGGAGCUCGGGAGCUCGGGAGCUCGGGCCCGCUCCGCCCCCGCGUCCUGCAGGCUGGGCCGGCCCCCGAGCCCCGCCGCCCGCCCCGCCCCGCCCCGCCCCGCCCCGCCCCGCCGCGCCGCGCCCCGCCCUCCGCGGGAGGCCGUCCUCCGUAGUCCGGGUCUCCCGGCGGCCGCGGGCCUGUGAGCACCGGACGGCCGACGCCUCCGCCCCGCGGGCCCUGCCUGCCGGCGUUGAAGGCCGCAGGCCGCUGGGCCUCGGUCCGGGGUCCGGCCGGCCCGAGGCUCCUGACGCGGCGGUCGGCGGCUGCCCGCUCCCGGUGCUCACGCUCGUCGGGCGCGGCGCGGGCAGGGCUGGGGCUCCGGCUCCGAGGGGGCGCGCGCAUCCCGCCCGGGGCCCCACCCCCCAAUUCCUAGCGGGCCCCGACCUGGCCAGGGCUGGGCAGAGCGGGGCGCCGGGGCCCGGGAGCCGCCGAGCGCGCAGCGCACCCGCCCCCCCCCCCGCCCGCGAGCGCGCCCCUCCCGCGGCGCCCGCUCUGAGGUCCGCCCGCUCUGAGGUCCGCGGCGCGGGGGCGCGCGGCCGGAAGCCCUGGUGGCCGCGUCGGCGCGGCGCCACGUCCUCGAGGGCCUCCAGGAUGGUCCGGCGCUGCUCGGGCCUGACGUCCACGCGGAGGGGAUGCGCCUGCAGGACGCGCCGCCGGACCGUGCUGCCCCCCGGCGUGGCCACCAGGUACUCGCCCGCCAGCGCGGCGGCUGCUGCCCGCGGCCGCUGGCGCCGCGGGGCGGGGGGAGGCCGGUGGCCCGGGCUCUGGGCCGUUCCGAGGCUGGGGACGGCGGGACACCGCCUAGGCGGGGACGAAAGACGGCGCUGGAGCCGGGAGAGGUCGGCCGCCGCGCCUCGGCUCCACAGCCGCCCACCCCGGCGCUCCCGGCGCUCCCGGCGCUCCCGGCGCGCCCUCCCAAGCCCCGCGUCACCCCCCGCUCUCGGCCCCGCUUCUCCCGAGCUCUCCUGGCCCCGGCCCCGGCCCACUCGGCCCGGCCUGUUUGUUCUUAAAGAUUUGCUUUAUUUGGGGGGAGGGGGAGAGCGCGGAGCCUGA
rnacentral:lncRNA from 1 species